CGGCGGACGGGUGAGUAACACGUGAGUAACCUGCCUUAGACAUAGGGAUAGCCUCGGAAACCGGGAUUAAUACCAAAUGAAAUCACAUAUGCACAUGCAUAAAUGAUCAAAGCUCCGGCGGUCUAAGAUGGACUCGCGUCCCAUUAGCUAGUUGGUGAGGUAACGGCCCACCAAGGCGACGAUGGGUAGCCGGCCUGAGAGGGUGAACGGCCACAUUGGAACUGAGAAACGGUCCAAACUCCUACGGGAGGCAGCAGCC
rnacentral:rRNA from 1 species